rnacentral:rRNA from 1 species
GAUGAACGCUGGCGGAGUGCCUAACACAUGCAAGUCGAGCGGCAGCGCGAGUAGUUUACUACUUGGCGGCGAGCGGCGGACGGCUGAGUAACGCGUGGGAACAUGCCCCAAAGUGAGGAAUAACUGCCCGAAAGGGUAGCUAAUGCCGCAUACGGUCUUCGGAUUAAAGGAUUUAUCCGCUUUGGGAGUGGCCUGCGUACGAUUAGAUAGUUGGUGAGGUAAUGGCUCACCAAGUCUACGAUCGUUAACUGGUUUGAGAGGAUGAUCAGUCAGACUGGAACUGAGACACGGUCCAGACUCCUACGGGAGGCAGCAGUGAGGAAUCUUCCACAAUGGACGAAAGUCUGAUGGAGCAACUCCGCGUGCAGGAUGAAGGCC